rnacentral:tRNA from 1 species
GAAGGUGUACCUCAGCGGUAGAGCGCGUGCUCAGCAUGCAUGAGGUCCUGGGUUCAGUCCCCAGUGCCUCCA